rnacentral:tRNA from 1 species
GCAGUGGAGGUUCAGUGCUAGAAUUCUCACCUUCCAUGCAGGAGACCUGGGUUCAAUUCCUGGCCAAUGCA